GUCGGUAGGUCGGUGGUCUCAAUGUCACUGGGCAGUCGUUACCAUGACGACCAGUCACUUUGUGCAUACACUGUACCACUCGUGACUGCAGGCCCUUCCCACAGGAUGACGAGCACUGAAACAGCCAAUUGCAGGGUGGCACAACUGUAACCAUACAUGAACCAUGAGCUUUGAAGACUGUGGACUGAGACUGUCAUACCUUGGACCAGUCUCCGGUCUUCCACUCGUAACACUUGGAGUGGUCCUCACAGGGCUCCUGUAGAGUAGGCUGGGACAGAGGAUCACACAGACCCUGAGGGGUUUCCAUAGAUACUAACCCUUGUGCUACCUUCCUAAACCACCAGAGGGACCUACCUUCCUCCCUGACUGAAAGCUUAGUCUCUGCAGCUGAACUGCCCAAUGAAAACAAAUCUGACCUUCUCUCCUUCAGUCUCUG